rnacentral:rRNA from 1 species
GAUGAACGCUGGCGGCGUGCCUAAUACAUGCAAGUCGAGCGAACGGACGAGAAGUUUGCUUCUCUGAUGUUAGCGGCGGACGGGUGAGUAACACGUGGAUAACCUACCUAUAAGACUGGGAUAACUUCGGGAAACCGGAGCUAAUACCGGAUGAUAUUUUGAACCGCAUGGUUCAAAAGUGAAAGACGGUUUUGCUGUCACUUAUAGAUGGAUCCGCGCGGCAUUAGCUAGUUGGUAAGGUAACGGCUUACCAAGGCAACGAUGCAUAGCCGACCUGAGAGGGUGAUCGGCCACACUGGAACUGAGACACGGUCCAGACUCCUACGGGAGGCAGCGGUAGGGAAUCUUCGGAAAUGGGCGAAAGCCUGACGGAGCAACGCCGCGUGAGUGAUGAAGGUCUUCGGAUCGUAAGACUCUGUUAUUGGGGAAGAACAUAUGUGUAAGUAACUGUGCACAUCUUGACGGUACCUAAUCAGAAAGCCACGGCUAACUACGUG